CGUCGCCAGUCAUGCGGCGAUUAAGCCUUGACUAUCCACGCCGUCAGCGCUGCUACGGAAAGUCCGCAAAUACGAGACGCGCUCGCCGCGGUGAGGUAUGCAGAACAGUGCCGCUGCGGCCGACUCCUAAAAACCGGUAACUUCGUUAGGCUUAACGGUUACGCGCAAAUUCGCACCUGUGCGUACGGUGUUCGGAAUGGGUCCACCUGCAUCGAAUACCGGUAUGGAGAAAGUUAGAGCUGCACACAGGUGCGGAAACACCCUCAACAAAAAAAUGUAUCCAUUUUGAAAUUCAAGUUUCAGUAUUAUUUUAUGACUGAUGAGCCACAUGCCAGUACACAAUAGAUAACUGAAACUGAAAAGAAACCAAGCUUUUUGUGCCUUCUCUGGGAAAUAAAAUGUUGAUUCUCAAUGAAGUAAAAGACAUUUCUUAACUAAUUUUUGAUGGAAUUUAUUGAAUUUUUCAGCUGCCAUAAAAAUUCGUGUAAAAAGAAACAUUUUAAAUAAAGCAUUCCUUUUUUCCUA